rnacentral:rRNA from 1 species
GUCCACGCCUUAAACUAUGAAUACUAAGUGUCGGCGGUUUACCGCCUGUGCCGCAGCUAACGCAUUAAGUAUUCCGCCUGGGAAGUACGGCCGCAAGGUUGAAACUCAAAGGAAUUGACGGGGGCCCGCACAAGCGGUGGAGCAUGUGGUUUAAUUCGACGCAACGCGAAGAACCUUACCCAGGCUGGACAUGCAGGUAGUAGAAGGGUGAAAGCCCAACGAGGUAGCAAUACCACCCUGCUCAGGUGCUGCAUGGCUGUCGU